AGGCCUUCAGCCACGGAAGGGCCACAGCUUACGCGUUCACACAGUGAAGGUUGUGAAGCUCAGGGACGGGGAGCCAUGGAGCCUUCCUGGAGAAUGUGAGGAGGAUGCAGUGUCACAGGCUGAAAUGAUCCAGUCACGGAGCAAAACAAGAAUCCAGUGAGGAUUUGAUCUCCAUCAGCCAGAGGGAAUCACAUCUCGCCAUGGAUAUGAUGACUUCUGCCCUGCCAAAGCCAAGGUUGAUCUCAGGUCUCUCGUCCUCCACCCUGCACUCAGGCAACAAAAGCAUUCGAUCAGAUGCUGUGUUACACAGCUCUGAUGUGCCGGGCUGGUCCUGGGUGCCAAGGAUACAUCUAUCUGUCAAUAAACAAGGGA
rnacentral:lncRNA from 10 species